UCCUUCUCUCCCUCUGUCUCACUUCAUCUUUUCUUCCCCGCUUCUUCUUUCCCUCCCUCCCUCUAUCGAUCUCCAACUCACCUUCCCUAUCCAUCGCACCAUUGUCACCCCCACCUCCACACCAGUGGGAGGUUGGUAGUUUUUAUCCAUAUAGUAUUUCUUUCCACAUAAUAAAAAAUACGGGUGCUGAAGACCUUGCCAUCAUGUGCCCAUACAAACCUCUUCAUCCCAUCCCAAUAGUAGACUUUCUAAUCAUAUGUCUGUCUUCAAGAGUCUCUCAGUUCAGUUUCUUCAGCAUUACCUUGAUACUCUCUGGAUAUUUGGUACAGGUCCCAAACACAUGAGCAAUAGUCUAGAAUGGGUCACAUGAGUGAUUUGUAAGCAAUCUCCUUUGUGAACUGCUUGCACUUCCCCCAAUAUUCUGCCAAUAAACUAAAAUCUGCAACAUCCUUCAACCACAACUGAGCCUAUGUGAUCAUCCCUACAAAAUCUUGCACCCAGGUAUUUGUAUGAGCUGGCCAAAUCCAGCAGUGGCUCAUUGAUAUUAUAGUCAUAGGAUACUACAUUUUUUCAUUUUGUGAAGUGCACAGUUUUACAUUUCUAGACAUUUAAAUGUAGCAAUGAAAGGAAGUAUUGAUAAACUCAGAGCUGAAUUACAUUUUUUAUUAUAUAUUUCAGACUUGAUUCAUACAAUUAGUAUUAUUGCUGUUUUGACUUAUUAUCAAGUCAUCAGAUGAUAUGUUUAGAAAUGCCAUUUGCAUAAAUUUCAAGAGCUUGAAGUUUUUACUAAUUUUAUAAAAAGUACCCACAUCACUUAUUUAAUGAACGAAACUAUUACUGUAACAAAGCCUUUUUCGAAGUAUUUUCUUGUGUGUCGAUGAUGCCUCUUCUCCUUGUUUUCUGCCAGCUCACAUCUGUCUAAUGGUAGCUUGUUUUAUCAGUUCUUUCAUACCAGUUGUUUAUCAUGCACUUGCAGCUGCCAGAUACUAGUUUACUAAUUGCACCCACAGGCGAGAAUGUGUGUCUGGUUUAUGUAACACCAUUAGUUAAGUAAUUUUUUUACAAGUUUUCAUUUCAAGUGGUCUUUAUCACACAUUGUAUUUUACAGUGUAAGUAUUCUUAAUCUUACGUUGGCAGUGCAAGAGUUACCAGCUCUAUAUUCUUCCACAGCCAACUUCAGCAUCAAGUUACAACAAUUGGAGAGAAGGUAUAUUUACGUAGAGAGCGCUUUUCCAGACCUUUUCAGUGGUCAAGUUACUGUACAGCGUAUUACAAUAUGUGUUUUUAUAUGUAGGGAUUUGCAGCUUAUGAUCCCUAGUAUGUUACUACCCCCUUUUUCCUUCCUUUUAAACAGAUCCUCUAAUGACGACUUGAUAUUAAUGCAAGCUUGAUAGUGAUAUCACUUGUGUGCCCUGGGUUUGAAAUGUAUAAUGAAAAAAAUUUACGAGACAGUCAUUUUGUGUUUAAGGUAGUAUUCCUAGUCUGUAUGAACUGUGUCUACAUAUACUUCUACAUCUGUGCUCCACAAUCCGUCUUCUGGUGGGCAGUGGAUGAUACAAAGUAUCACUAUCCUUCUCUCUUUCAUUUUCCAGUCGCAAAUGGUUCCACUGAAAGGACAAUUUUUAGUAACUCUCUGCGUGAGCUUAAAUCCCUAAAAUUUUACCUUUAUGGUCUUUUCAUAAGAUACUUGUAGGAUGAAGCAAUAUAUUGGUUGACUCUUCCAGGAAUGUACGAUCACAGGAUGUUAACAUCAAACUACACCGUGAUGCACAAUGCCUCUCUUGGAGUUGCCCGAGCAUCUCAAUGAUGCUUUUCUGCUUACUAAACAACCCUGUAACUAAACUCUUUACUGGAUCUUCUUUACUUUCUUUUCCAGUCCUAUCCAGUACAGAUCUCCGACUGAUGAGAGGUGUUAAAGUUCCUUCAGAUGAGGGCUUUGUGAGCUUCCUCCUUUAUAGGUGCUCGACUACAUGUCCAGAUGAGUCUUCCAGUGAAUCUCAAUCUAGCAAUCUGCCUUACCUGCAAUCAGUUUUAUGUGGUCACUCCACUUUUAAGUCACUCUGUAUACAUACUCCUAGAUAUUUUAUCAAUGUGACUGCUUUCAGUAAUUGUUCUGCAUAAAAUGAUAGGCCUCUCUGCAUAUUUAUGCACAAUACAUUACACUUGUUUAUAUUGGGGUCAACUGCCAAUACCUGCACCAAGUGUUGAUCCUCUGCAGGUCUUCCUAUAUUUUGUGACAGUUUUCUAGCACUGUGACUUUUUUGUAUAAAACAGCACCAUUCAUAAAAAGUCUCAUAGAAUUUUAUCCAUUAGGUACUAUGAAAAUUAAUGAUCCUAUAUCUUUCCGAUGUCAUGUACCCAAAACUAUGUUUAAUUCAAAGAUUUCUCUCCUUCAAGAAUGGCACACUGUUUUCUGUUUGCUAGGAACUCAUCAGUCCAGUCACACAGCUCAUCUGAUAUUCUGUAAACUUGUAUUUUUUCCCUUUGGAAAAAGUACACGACUGUGUCAAAAGCCUUCUGGAACUAGGCAUUAACCUGGGUGCCAGUCUGACUUUAACCCAGACAAUUUUUAAGAAUUCUGAGCGUGAUACGGAUAACAGUUAACUUUUGUAUAUUUUUAAAAUCAUUGCGCACACCUUGGACAAAUUGGCGAUGGGAGCCAUUAUGUUAACCAAUUAUCAACAUCACUAAAAGUGAGGUCAGAAUAGGCUGGCAAAGCUCUUUCAUGUACAUUACCUAACCUAAAUAAAAACAAAAUGAAUUACAUUUAUUUUUGCACAGAAACUGUAUCAGAAACUUAUUGUAGCUUCAUCUGCACAUUGGAUGCUUCAACAUUUUCAGUCUGUACAUCUUAGUGACGAUGUACUGCUGGGCAAAAAUAAGCAGUAUAGUUUUUAAAAAAUUAACCAAACAUCUUACUCUAGAUAAUAUUUUUGAAACUUAAAAUAUUUGUACAUACAAGUAAUUUUUUAUUUAUAUGUAUUUAUGGGUGUGUGAGGUUCAGCAUUGUUUCUGCUUUUCAUGUAUCCACUCAUAAUUUGCAUUGGCUGCUUUGUCUAAAUAAAAACUCAAAAUUAUGUUUUUAUUCAUAUGAAUGCAGGAAUUUUGUCUGUGAUAUUGCAUGUACCAAAACGUAACGGUCCAUUGGUUAUUGCUAGAGUACUAGUCCAAAGUGAAGUGUGAUGCUGUUGUAGCAGCAUAAAUUUAUGUACCUUUCUUUGAUUUUUGCUCCUUUGACAGUCCUAUUAUUUCAUUGUUGAUUUCGGACAAACAGCUGUCAAAAUGAAGCUUGAAAGAAUCCUAUGAUUCAUAUAAUGCAUAAGUAUGUAUUUAUGUGCAUAUAUGUAAGAGCAUACACACAUACAGGUGUGUGUGUGUGUGUGUGUGUGUGUGUGUGUGUGUGUGUAUAUCUCCUCAGACUGUGAACAGUUUUUUGUAUUGUGGUGCAGAUGUGGCUCUACUUUCCUAACUAUUGUUUACAUCUUAAGUCCUACGCAGGCCUCUGCAGAAUGUCGUGCCUUUAUGGAAAUGUGUACUUGAAUUAGAAAAAAUAAUGUACUGAAACUAUUUAUUUUUAUGCAUUGUGUGAAAGCUAUAUUUUAAAAUAUGAUUAGUAGUAGUGAUAUUAAGAAUUGUGUGUAUGUAUUGUCCUUGUGGACCACCAAAAUUCGUUUCAGGGCAAUACACAAGAAAUGAAUUAUGGAAGGUGAAAAAUAUGACUAAUAUAUGAAUAUUAUUUAAGUCUUUGUAGCCAUUGCAUUAAUGCUGCAAAUAAAUGAGAUUGCAUUAGUUUUAAAA